GCAUUUAAUGUCACCUGCUCUCUGCCAAGCACCCUGCCUGUGUUCUCAUACAUGUUUGCAUUUCUCAUAAAGGCAAGGCCCAUGUCUCCCAGAAGAAUUUACUCCUGGGGCAUCGGACUUGAAAUCCAACUAUGAAAAAAAAAGUGAUCAAGUCUGGUUGAGCAGCUCAGGCGGGCUUCAUAGAGGAGACGGCUUUUGGAAAUCAUUGAGGCGAGCUUUAAAGGAGCAAGUGAGUGCUAUUUUAGGCACAGGCAAAGGCAUGGGCCAAGGUGCAAGGGUGUGAUAGUGCAGGGGGCACAGAUUCCAUCCCACCAUUGGUGGAAUCCUGCCACACCUGGGAGAGAUGAGAUACCAUAAAUCUCAAGACCCCCUACAAGCUGGCCACAUCUAAGUCCUUCAAGCCAUUCUUCUGCUCCAGAACCUUCCAUGGCUCCCUAGUGCCCAUAAAGUAAGUUGAUGGUAAAGUCCUGCACUCUAACCAACCACAGCCACAGCCUCAGGCUUUCAGGGAGGCACUAUCCAUCUACAUGUCCCUUCUGGGUCCUCCUCCCAUAAAAUUCCAAAUAGACCUGGAGUCUCACCAAACUUGAAUUCUAUGGCAUCCUCUUGUUUGUGCGGGGUUUUGUUUGAUGGGAAUUUUUCCGGGUAAGAUCUUGGUCUUUCGCUGAAGCAUCCUAGGACUUGUCCUGAUGAAAUCUUCUGCCAGCCUCACCAAAGACUAGCAUGAAACAAAAGGAAAAUGCUGUAUAAAAUAAGUUCUUGAGCUUACCUGGCAUGAAGAACUUGUUUCCUGACUGAUUUCAUGAUCAACAGUGGUCAUGACUCCCUGCAUCUCUGGCCUCUGAGACUGAAUCUGGCUAAGGCCUUGUGGGCACUUGCUCAUCUCACCCCUAGGAGAUGAGGCCUCUCUGUGGGAUUUGUCACCCAGCACAGGGUCCUCUGAGGGUGUCAACAGAAGAUCCGGGAGUGCCUACUGUCGUGGACUGUGCAGGUGGCCCCAUCAGAGGGUGGUGACAGCUGUCUCCUUCUGUAAGUGAGGAAGCCUCAUCCUUCCUUGGAUCCUCAGCAUCUCUUAACCAGCUGCGGCAGAGGUCGAAUUAGAAUGGCACCAGCUUUGGAUAAAAAUCCAGAUCUCGUUUUUCAAAACGUGUCUAGAGCUGGUGGCUGUAAGGAACCAGUCAAGCCUCAGCUGUGAUUCUAACCGGUUCAAGUUCACCUGAGAGCCCAACUCACUCAACCAAAGAGAACACAGUUUGGAUGGAGCUCAAGGUGCAUGGCUGGCUGGCAUAGCCUGGACAACCUCUUAAAGGCCUGGCUGCAGAGAUAGAAGAUCUGUCCCUCAAGUUGGGGAUAUCACCUGAGAAGUUCAAGUCCACUGCCUCACAGCUCAAACGAGUCAGCCUUACCAGUCAAGAAUUGUGCUGAUAAA
rnacentral:lncRNA from 13 species